rnacentral:RNase_P_RNA from 1 species
GUGUUCGGGCAAUCGCUGUAUUCUUUGCGAAUAUAGAGGAAAGUCCAUGCUCGCACGAUCUGCAAUGAUCGUAGUGUUCGUGCCUGGCCAAGUCAUAAGCCAGGGUAGCUCGGAUUAUGAUUCUGGGCUAACGGCGGGAGAAAAACCUGUGUUCCUCUGGAAUAUGGUUUGCUAUCCCAUAACGUGCCAUAGUGACGAUGUCUUUUGGAAACAAAAGAAGUGGAACGCGGUAAACCCCUCGAGCGGGAAACUCAAACUUGGUAGAGGAACCCUUUGGAAGGAAUCAAACGGAAAAAGGGACAGUUAAUCUGUAGAUAGAUGAUUGCCGCUUUCGUACGAGGAGCGUGCAGCUCUGUUUGAGUGCGGGAGUACAGAACAUGGCUUACAGAA